rnacentral:rRNA from 1 species
UACGUAGGGGGCUAGCGUUGUCCGGAAUCAUUGGGCGUAAAGCGCGCGUAGGCGGCCCGGUAAGUCCGCUGUAAAAGUCAAAGGCUCAACCUUUGAAUGUCAGUGGAUACUGCCGGGCUAGAGUCCGGAAGAGGCGAGUGGAAUUCCUGGUGUAGCGGUGGAAUGCGCAGAUAUCAGGAGGAACACCAACGGCGAAGGCAGCUCGCUAGGACGGUACUGACGCUAAGGCGCGAAAGCGUGGGGAGCGAACAGG